GAUGAACGCUGACCGAAUGCUUAACACAUGCAAGUCUUUGGCGAAGCUGUGCUUGCACAGCCUAGCCAAGGCGGACGGGUGAGUAACGCGUAAGGAACUUGCCCUGCAGUCAGGGAUAACAGACGGAAACGACUGAUAAGACCUGGUAAAGUCAGGCGGACUCAUGUCCAGCCUGAUGAAAAGAGAUGCUGCAGGAGAGCCUUGCGUCCUAUUAGCUUGUUGGUGGGGUAACGGCCCACCAAGGCGAUGAUAGGUAGCCGGCCUGAGAGGGUGGACGGCCACAAGGGGACUGAGAUACGGCCCUUACUCCUACGGGAGGCAGCAGUGGGGAAUAUUGGACAAUGGGGGCAACCCUGAUCCAGCAAUUCUGUGUGCACGAUGAAGGUUUUCGGAUUGUAAAGUGCUUUCAGCAGGGAAGAAAAAAAUGACGGUACCUGCAGAAGAAGCGACGGCUAAAUACGUG
rnacentral:rRNA from 1 species